rnacentral:lncRNA from 1 species
GCCGACGGACGCGAGCAGAAGCCGAAAAAAAAGAGGCAGCAGAAUCAUGGGCCGCGCAGCGGCGCAAAGAAAAAUUUUCGGCGCCACUUUUUCUUGGCCCUUGUCGUGGGGUGCGGCUCGGGGCCUCGCACGCGAGCGACAGCCCGCGGCACGAGGAUACCGUAUAUCGACAACAACGCGGACCUUUUCGCAAAAAGGUCAAAGUUGACGCGGACCCGCUGACGGGCAACGCAAAAAGGCAAUGCGGUCCAUAAUGGCGCAAGCGGCGGGCGAGAGUUUUGCGGUGAGGUCGCAAAAUCGCGGCAUGACGCGCGGGCAGCCCGGCCUGUACUUGCGCAGCAACGCGAUCUUUCUUCAAAAAAACGCAAGGAACCUGGAUAUAAUCAGACAAAAUACAGUAUAUAACCAAGCAUGGGCUUUUGAUAAUUCCCG